rnacentral:rRNA from 1 species
AGAGUUUGAUCCUGGCUCAGAGUGAACGCUGGCGGCGUGCCUAAUACAUGCAAGUCGAACGAACGAAUAAGAGCUUGCUCUUAUAAGUUAGUGGCGCACGGGUGAGUAAUAUAUAGCUAAUCUGCCUCUUAGUAGAGGAUAACAGUCGGAAACGAUUGCUAAUACUCUAUACUUCUGCUUUACAUAAGUAAAGUAGAGAAAGUUUUUCGCUAAGAGAUGAGGCUAUACUGUAUCAGCUAGUUGGUAAGGUAACGGCUUACCAAGGCUAUGACGCAUAACUGGUCUGAGAGGAUGAUCAGUCACAUUGGAACUGAGACACGGUCCAAACUCCUACGGGAGGCAGCAGUAGGGAAUAUUGCGCAAUGGGGGAAACCCUGACGCAGCAACGCCGCGUGGAGGAUGACACUUUUCGGAGCGUAAACUCCUUUUAUCGGGAAAGAAUAAUGACGGUACCCGAUGAAUAAGCACCGGCUAACUCCGUGCCAGCAGCCGCGGUAAUACGGAGGGUGCAAGCGUUACUCGGAAUCACUGGGCGUAAAGGGUGCGUAGGUGGAUUAUCAAGUCUCUUGUGAAAUCUAAUAGCUUAACUAUUAAAUUGCUUGGGAAACUGAUAGUCUAGAGUAGGGGAGAGGCAGAUGGAACUCUUGGUGUAGGAGUAAAAUCCGUAGAUAUCAAGAAGAAUACCUAUUGCGAAAGCGAUCUGCUAGAACCUAACUGACACUGAUGCACGAAAGCGUGGGGAGCAAGGAGUACGGUCGCAAGAUUAAAACUCAAAGGAAUAGACGGGGACCCGCACAAGCGGUGGAGCAUGUGGUUUAAUUCGAAGAUACGCGAAGAACCUUACCCGGACUUGAUAUCUAACAAAUCAUCCAGAGAUGGAAGAGUGUCUGCUUGCAGAAAUGUUAAGACAGGUGCUGCACGGCUGUCGUCAGCUCGUGUCGUGAGAUGUUGGGUUAAGUCCCGCAACGAGCGCAACCCACGUAUUUAGUUGCUAACAGUUAGGCUGAGUUCUCUAAAUAGACUGCCUUCGUAAGGAGGAGGAAGGUGUGGACGACGUCAAGUCAUCAUGGCCCUUAUGUCCGGGGCGACACACGUGCUACAAUGACAUAUACAAUGAGAUGCAAUAUCGCAAGAUGGAGCAAAUCUAUAAAAUAUGUCCCAGUUCGGAUUGGAGUCUGCAACUCGACUCCAUGAAGCCGGAAUCGCUAGUAAUCGUAGAUCAGCCAUGCUACGGUGAAUACGUUCCCGGGUCUUGUACUCACCGCCCGUCACACCAUGGGAGUUGAUUUCACUCGAAGCGGGGAUGCAAAAUUUGCUACCCUCCACAGUGGAAUCAGCGACUGGGGUGAAGUCGUAACAAGGUAACCGUAGGAGAACCUGCGGUUG